rnacentral:rRNA from 1 species
UACGAAGGGGGCUAGCGUUGUUCGGAAUUACUGGGCGUAAAGCGCACGCAGGCGGAUUGAUAAGUCGGGGGUGAAAUCCCCGAGCUCAACUCGGGAACUGCGUCCGAUACUGGUGGGCUUGAAUCCGGGAGAGGGAUGCGGAAUUCCAGGUGUAGCGGUGAAAUGCGUAGAUAUCUGGAGGAACACCGGUGGCGAAGGCGGCAUCCUGGACCGGCAUUGACGCUGAGGCGCGAAAAGCUAGGGGAGCAAACGGGG